CCGACGCCGAUCUCCUUCUCCUCACAUCGCGCCCGAAAUCCCUUUCCCUCUCCGACGAUUCCUUCUCCUCCGAUCGCCGAAUGCCCGAUGUACCGCCGGCCGAGCUUCCCUUCUUCCUCUCCCUCUAGAAGCGUGGAGUCCUCCUACCUCUCUUCUCCUCUACACGUCGGCGCAAUCCCCCUUUCUCCCGACUUCAUCUUUGUGACCUAGUGUCUGCCGACGCCGAUAGAGAGUGACGUCUCCACCACGACCUCGUUUUCACCACAUCACCGGAGGAUACGUCGCUGGAUCUUGAUGGUAUCAGUUACCUCCGGCUGAGCGGUCAUCUCUGGAGAUGAUCUCGUGUGCGCAAUCGACGGGGUCCGGAUCUAGGGCACAACAAGGGCCCUUGACCUGCAUUCCUAGAUGAUCGAUUGCUCCUCCUCAUCAUCUUGUUUGUUGGAGAGUGACCGUUUGCUCUACAUCAGCCGGAUUGAAGUGCCGACGCCGUUUGGAAACACCCGAUCGUGAGGAAGCAAAGGAUCAGUGUGCUGUGGACUUGCUUGUUGCUGGUCAUUACGAAUUCCACUUCUUGAAGCUAUACCCUAGCUUCCGGGGGCUGAGUUCUUCUUCUUCCUCAUUGAUCUGGAUUGAGAUAAGGUUCUGUUAAGGUGCCCUUUUGUAACUUCCGGGCGGUUUUGGCUGAAUGUGAGCUGCUGAAAUGUUGCUAAACCUCGAGGACUUGGAUUCGGGACGAGCGUCUCGAAGUGGGCUUGAUUUAUCUGACACGGUCGACAGAUAAAGGCGGGUA